rnacentral:rRNA from 1 species
CCUACGGGUGGCAGCAGUGGGGAAUAUUGGACAAUGGGGGGAACCCUGAUCCAGCGACGCCGCGUGAGUGAAGAAGUAUUUCGGUAUGUAAAGCUCUAUCAGCAGGGAAGAAAGAAAUGACGGUACCUGACUAAGAAGCCCCGGCUAACUACGUGCCAGCAGCCGCGGUAAUACGUAGGGGGCAAGCGUUAUCCGGAUUUACUGGGUGUAAAGGGAGCGUAGACGGUUACGCAAGUCUGGAGUGAAAGGCGGGGGCCCAACCCCCGGACUGCUUUGGAAACUGUAUAACUAGAGUACGGGAGAGGUAAGAGGAAUUCCUAGUGUAGCGGUGAAAUGCGUAGAUAUUAGGAGGAACACCAGUGGCGAAGGCGUCUUACUGGACCGAAACUGACGUUGAGGCUCGAAAGCGUGGGGAGCAAACAGGAUUAGAUACCCCUGUAGUC